rnacentral:rRNA from 1 species
AGCGUUAAUCGGAAUUACUGGGCGUAAAGCGUGCGCAGGCGGUUUUGUAAGUCUGUCGUGAAAUCCCCGGGCUCAACCUGGGAAUUGCGAUGGAGACUGCAAGGCUAGAAUCUGGCAGAGGGGGGUAGAAUUCCACGUGUAGCAGUGAAAUGCGUAGAGAUGUGGAGGAACACCGAUGGCGAAGGCAGCCCCCUGGGUCAAGAUUGACGCUCAUGCACGAAAGCGUGGGGAGCAAACAGGAUUAGAUACCCUGGUAGUCCACGCCCUAAACGAUGUCUACUAGUUGUCGGGUUUUAAUUAACUUGGUAACGCAGCUAACGCGUGAAGUAGACCGCCUGGGGAGUACGGUCGCAAGAUUAAAACUCAAAGG